AAACAAAAUACAUUAUUAAUUUCCAAAAAAGUAACCAAUUAAAAUCAACAAAUUAUAUUUGAUAUCUAAAUUAUCAUAUUAAUUUUUUAUUAAUUAUUAUAGUUCACUUCUCAUCUUUAUAUGAUUUUAUUUUUGCGGAAAAAUAAUAUCAUCAUUAUAAAAAAAGAAUUAGAGUUAUUUUGCAUAUGCCACAAUUUGAAUUUUUAAAAACGAAUAUAAACUGUUCAAUACAUGAAAAAAUAUUAUAACGGGUGAAAAAUAGAUUUAAGAAAACUUUCUACUGAGUAACGGGUCAUAAUUUGAAAUAUUUAUAUUCAAUUUCAUACAUAUUAUAUUGAAAAUUUAUAAUCUUAUAUAUUACAAUAAUUAAUAACAUAUUAGAUGUGAUUCAAUUUUUAAUAAAAGCUGGAAAAUCCUAGAAUUGACGGUUUAGAUCGAUAUUAAUACAAGAUGGAAUACUACAAGUGAAACUCUUAAAUUAACUAUCAAACUACAAGUGUAUAAUCUUAAACACUAAACAAUAUAGAUAAUAUCAACAAAACAUACACAUGAGAUCAAUUAAAUUUUAAUCACAUAAAAAUUAGCACAAAAAAAAGUAUUCAACAAUUAAAUUUUUAUCAAAUCUCUGUGUUAUAUAAGUUUUGAUACUAUAUUCGAAUAAUGUAAUAUACCUUUUCAAUUUGUAUUCUUUAACUAAUUUAAUCUAACUAAUAUAUUUGCUAAUCUUAUACCUAUCAAAACCGACUAUCGUUUCUUAUCUCUAUAGUAUUUUUGCAAGACUUUUUUGGUGGAUUUGGAUAAAAGUGUAUUCGGGUCAUAUGGUACAUUCUCCUAUUAAAUAAAUAUGGUGCACUCCGAUGUUAUUAGCUAAAAUGUUUAGAAUAUAAUUCAGAGUCAUAUCAUUAAUAAAAUUAAUAUUAAUAAAAUAAAUGACUUUUUGGCAAGACGAAUUUGGAGGGACGGGUUUUUGAAUCAACAUUAAUAAAAAAGUAAAAUAUAAUUAAUCCACCGUUUUAAUACGGGUUAAAUCUUUAAUUAAUUAUUUUUUAAGACCACUAAUAUUAAACAUAUCAAAUCAUCCUAAUUUAGAAAAGAUUAUAUAAAACCAAAAAUGUUAUGUGGUAUGUAUAAUAUUACUAUAUAUAAAAUUAAACAAUAAAAUAUAAAUGUAUUAGAGAAUGAUACAAUGUGCAAAACUUUUAUAUAUAAAAAAUAAUUCUUAAAUUUUAAAAAUUACUACUUUAAAAAAAAAAUCACGGGACGGGUAAAAAAUUUACAGAACGGGUUUUAUUUUGGAAUUGGGUUAUAUGGUGGAUGUAUUUGAAUCAAUAUUUAUAAAAUUUUAAAAUAUUAUUAAUAUGCUGUUUAAGUAGGGAUUAAAACUUCAGUUUUUUAACAAUUAUCUCAUGAAUUCGUGGUAUAGUGUUAUUUAAUAACAAUUAUAAACUGUAAAAUAAAAAUA
rnacentral:sRNA from 1 species